AAGGAACNCUNAUACCGAAAUACGUCCUACGGGAGAAANCAGGGGACCUUCGGGCCUUGCGCUNUCANAUGANCCUNGGUCGGAUUANCUANUUGGCNNAGUAAUGGCUCACCAAGGCNACGAUCCGUAACUGGUCUGAGAGGAUGAUCAGUCNCACUGNANCUGAGACACGGUCCANACUCCUACGGGAGGNAGCAGUGGGGAAUAUUGGACAAUGGGCGAAAGCCUGAUCCAGCCAUGCCNCGUGUAGUGAAGAAGGUCUUCGGAUUGUAAAGCANAUUUAAGUUGGGAGGAAGGGCAUUAANCUAAUACGUUANUGUUUUGACGUUACCGACAGAAUAAGCACCGGCUAACUUCGUGCCAGCAGCCGCGGUAAUACNAAGGGUGCAAGCGUUAAUCGGAAUUACUGGGCGUAAAGCGCGCGUAGGUGGUUUGUUAAGUUGAAUGUGAAAGCCCCGGGCUCAACCUGGGAACUGCAUCCAAAACUGGCAAGCUAGAGUAUGGCAAAGGGUGGUGGAAUUUCCUGUGUAGCGGUGAAAUGCNUAGAUAUAGGAAGGAACACCAGUGGCGAAGGCNACCACCUGGGCUAAUACUGACNCUGAGGUGCGNAAGCGUGGGGAGCAAACAGGAUUAGAUACCCUGGUAGUCCACGCCGUAAACGAUGUCNACUAGCCNUUGGGGAUCCCUUGAGAUCUUAGNGGGCGCAGCUAAACGCAUUUAAGUCGACCNCCCUGGGGAGUNCCGGCCGCAAGGNUAAAACUCAAAUGAAUUUGGCCGNGGGCCCCCCANAACNGGGGGAGCUUGUGGUUUUANUUCNAAACNACGNGGAAAACCUUNCCNGGCCUUGAAUU
rnacentral:rRNA from 1 species